rnacentral:rRNA from 1 species
GGCGGCAGGCUUAACACAUGCAAGUCGAACGACAUAGUGGCAGACGGGUGAGUAACGCGUGGAAACGUACCUUUCACUACGGAAUAGCUCUUGGAAACGAGUGGUAAUACCGUAUACGCCCUUCGGGGGAAAGAUUUAUCGGUGAAAGAUCGGUCCGCGUUAGAUUAGCUAGUUGGUGAGGUAAGAGCUCACCAAGGCGACGAUCUAUAGCUGGUCUGAGAGGAUGAUCAGCCACACUGGGACUGAGACACGGCCCAGACUCCUACGGGAGGCAGCAGUGGGGAAUAUUGCACAAUGGGCGAAAGCCUGAUGCAGCCAUGCCGCGUGAAUGAUGAAGGCCUUAGGGUUGUAAAAUUCUUUCGCUAGGGAUGAUAAUGACAGUACCUAGUAAAGAAGCCCCGGCUAACUUCGUGCCAGCAGCCGCGGUAAUACGAAGGGGGCUAGCGUUGUUCGGAAUUACUGGGCGUAAAGCGCACGUAGGCGGGUUAUUAAGUCAGAUGUGAAAUCCCAAGGCUCAACCUUGGAACUGCAUUUGAAACUGAUAGCCUAGAGAUCAGGAGAGGUUAGCGGAAUACCGAGUGUAGAGGUGAAAUUCGUAGAUAUUCGGUGGAACACCAGUGGCGAAGGCGGCUAACUGGACUGAUACUGA